UNGUAGUCUGAAAUGCAAGUGCUUCGGCCCUU
rnacentral:piRNA from 1 species